rnacentral:lncRNA from 1 species
GGGGACUUGCAAGAACUUACUUGUUAGAUUGUAAACUUUUCAAGGACAAAAACUAUUUCAUUUUUUGACUUUGUAUCAAUUUAUUAACAUCCUGCCUGGCACAAAAUAAAUACUAAAUAAAAUCUUUGCUGAUUCCUUACUGGAUUAUUUCUGAGGACAAAGUUUAACCUUGUGACAUUACUCCUCAAUGGAAUUUGUACAGGGAUGAAAAUAUUCUAUAAAUGAGGACACCGAAAUUCAAAAUGAACAACAGCAUAGACCCCAGGAACCCUCCUCCUGGACCUGGAUCAAAAGCCAGAUGGAUGAUGGGGCUCGGUGGCUAAGGCCUAAACAGCAGGUGGACCAUGAAAGCCAUUCUUAUACCUCUACGAAAAGGGAAAGCAAACAGUCCUGUUGUCAUUUGUGGUGAGAAGAAUCCAAAGACUGAGGAAGCUUCCCAAAGGGCUCCAUCAAGAGCAUCAGAAGUCUCUUGGUGUGAAGUGAUUCCUGGGAGAGCAGCCAUUGAUUCUCAGCAAGACUCUGAAAUGUUAUACUAGGCCUGAGUGUCUUGUUUUCACUUUCCAACAGUGUGCCUUGCAUUAAAACAGAAGGAUGUAGCUGCUGUUGUUAAAGAAUAUCGAAAAUACUUUUGGCUUUUUUACUCACUGCUACUUCACUUCAGAUUUGGGCAUAAUAGCUAAGAGAAAUACUUUUUUGAGUUCUCCGUUUCACCAUGAUUUUGAAAAUACAUAUUCUUAGAUAUUUUUUAAUUUUUCUAAAAAUUAUCAGAUUUGAUAUCAUGUCACAUCUGCCACAUAGAGAGGAAUCUAAGGUUGUAGGGGAACUUGGGAAAUCUUAUUUAGUCAUUUAUUUUAUUGAUGAGGAAACUGAGGUCUAGAAAGAAUGCUUUAACCAAGAUGAGAUCCUUGAUUAACAAUAGAAUUAAUACAUGAAACCAAGUGUCCAGAAUCAUAGCCCAAGGGUCUUACCACAUUACAAAACUUUCUCCUAUCAAUAUUACACUUUUCCCAGUCAAUGGAAUGACUCAAAUUUACCAAUGAUCUUUCUAGCCUGCUUUUUGUUGUGCCCUGUACCCCUACAUACACUUCAACAUGCAUAAAAUCAACCCAUUCUGAUGAGGACAGGUCAAUGGUAUUGAUGAUCAUUUUUUUCCAAUGACAUUCUCCCUAUUCACAAUCACAUUAUUAUGAACUUAAUUCUAAACAAAGCAGAAAAAGACAAACAUACAUUCUGCUGAUAAGGAAUUUUAUUUAGGCAGAUGUAUGGAUAAGGAGAUGAUAAGCAGAAUGUUUUAAAAAGAUUUUUCUAAAAAAG